AGACAGAGCAAAAUGAUUACCUGCACAUCCUCUUUUGAUUUAUGUCUUGAAACAGAAACAUAGAAUCUGACGGCAGAUAAGAACCAUUCGGCCCAUCAAGUCUGCCCGAUUUUCUAAAUACUUUCAUUAGUCCCUGGCCUGAUCUUAUAACUAGGAUACCCACUGUGUUAACCUAUACCACCUCAUCCACUACCCUCUCAGUAAAGUAAUACUUCCUGGUAUUAUUUUUAAACCUUUGCCCCUCUAAUUUAAGAUGAUGUCCUCUUGUGGUCGUUUUUCUUCUUUUAAAUAUAGUCUCCUCCUUUACUGUGUUGAUUCUCUUUAUGUAUUUAAAUGUUUCUAUCAUAUCCCCCUGUCUCGUCUUUCCUCCAAGCUAUGCGUGUUAAGAUCCUUUAACCUUUCCUUGUAAGUUUUAUCCUGUAAUCCAUGAACCAGUUUAGUAGCCCUUCUCUGAACUCUCUCCAAAGUAUCAAUAUCAUUCUGGAGAUACGUUUUCCAGUACUGCGUACAAUACUCCAAGUGAGGUCUCACCAGUGUUCAGUAUAACGGCAUGAGCACUUCCCUCUUUCUACUGCUAAUACCUCUAACUAUACAACCAAGCAUUCUGCUAGCAUUUCCUGCUGCUCUAUUACAUUGUCUGCCUACCUUCAAGUCAUCUGAAAUAAUUACUGUUAAGACACCCCCAGUGUCUUUAAAUGAAGCCGCUGUUUAGUCGACCUUCCCCUGAUGCAGUACCAAUAAUCUCCAUUCGCAUAACCGUAGUGCACAAACCAAACUCAGGGGAAGCGGCAAUCUCCCGACCGGGAUCAGUGAAAGGCUCCAACAUCCCGAACGGAACUCCACGAACAGCUGCUAGCCGCCGAACAAUAAUAUCCACCAAGCGGCUUUCGGAUCCAUCCAGCAGUCUCUAAACGCAAAUAAUAAAUCCCCCCCAAUAACGAGACAGAAGCUCCGCAUUGAGGGUUAGACAGGAUCUGGGUUUACUGUGGGCUACCUGCCCGUAUUUAUGCAGGUCUCCCACUUGGUGGACACUCCCCUAGGGGACCAAAUGGGAGACUUAAAUGACAGACAGAUAUGGGGACAUUCCAGACACACAGUCACAGUUUUUACCCACAAUGCACUAUGUUUCCCUCCCCUCUGCCCUGGAGAUAAUUACCAAGUAACUCAAUUAUCUCCAGGACAAAGCCAG